rnacentral:rRNA from 1 species
CCUACGGGUGGCAGCAGUGAGGAAUAUUGGUCAAUGGGCGAGAGCCUGAACCAGCCAAGUCGCGUGAGGGAGUACUGCCCUAUGGGUUGUAAACCUCUUUUGUCGGGGAGCAAAAGCCGCACGUGUCCGGCUGCGAGAGUACCCGAAGAAAAAGCAUCGGCCAACUCCGUGCCAGCAGCCGCGGUAAUACGGAGGAUGCGAGCGUUAUCCGGAUUUAUUGGGUGUAAAGGGUGCGCAGGCGGAUUUUUAAGUCAGCGGUAAAAUCGUGAGGCUCAACCCCUUCCAGCCGUUGAAACUGGGGAUCUUGAGUGUGCGAGAGGUAUGCGGAAUGCGUGGUGUAGCGGUGAAAUGCAUAGAUAUCACGCAGAACCCCGAUUGCGAAGGCAGCAUACCGGUGCACAACUGACGCUCAGGCACGAAAGCGUGGGUAUCGAACAGGAUUAGAUACCCCGGUAGUC